UCCCUGCAGAGGAGAGAUAAAGGAGAAGGAGCGUGAGAGGGGGGUCCGAGGCAGCGGGCGGCUGCUGAGGAACCCGCCAGGUCGGGCCUGGGUGCAGACGGACCCCGCCACCAGGAGACCCGGUCUGAGGAGGUCGCGGCCCGGUGUCUCCCGAGGGCGAGUCCCUGCCGAACCCGAGCUGGAGCGACGGGCGAGGAGGAAGAGGGCUGGGAGCAGAAAUUAACCGCGCAGCCACGAGGACCCCCCCACUCAGGACGGGACGCGCCAGCCCACGGGAAAUCCUCCUCAGCCUCAGGAGAAGUGCGGUGGGGAGAGAAGCGAGGACUGACCCUGCGGCCCCGGCCGCGAACCAACUGCUGGGGUGGACCACGCCGAAAGCUACGUCUCCUUACCGACGGCGCCCACCGCCAGCGACUACAACUCCCAGAAGCCUCCGCCCGCGGACCGCAGAAUGCGUGGUAGCGCCGCCGCUUUCUUAUCCGGGAAGCGGCUAAGGAAUCCUUAGCGCGCAUGCGCCCACGGGGGGUGUGUGUGUGAGGUUUCUUCCUAGUCUUUGGGAACUAUGUUUCCCAGCGUGCUCUGGGGCUCGUGGAAGGUGCACGCCUUCACUGGUGAGCGUCCCGGGAGCGUUCUCAUGCAUUAUUAGCAGGCGCUCCCCGGAAAUCGGCGGCGUGUCAGGAUUCAGCCAGUUGACCUAAAGUUGUCUUCGCCAUGGUCUUGCUACUUGCAGGUGACGAAUUUCAUAUCAGAAAUAUACCAAAAUUUCAUCAUAUUUUGAGGAAACUGUCUGACUCCUGACUCCAUUUUGAAGCCCAUCUUUGAUAGUGAAUGGACAAGGCUAGUAGCCACAUCCCAAGGAAGACAUGGUGAGCAGCCAAAUGUCUGCAUUUCCCUAGACCGGAAGAAGUUCUGCACAAUGAUGAAAGGGCUCUCGACCGAAUAAAAGUAGGUAAGGAGUUUCUGUGUAAACCUCAAAAGCAUCUAAAGUUGUCAGAGAUCUUUGUGCAUCCCAUUGACCUUCCUCUCCCAUGCUUCAGUGAGACAAAAGAACAUCCAGAAUCCUGGGCAAGGGCAGCCCCAUAGUUUUCUAUCUAAAAGAGUGGAGCUGAGCAGGUCACAGGUGGGCUGUGGGGGUACAGUUACACAUAGGUUUCCCACACACCAAAAAUUGGUUGCUGACAGUUCAGUUUCUCCUAUCCCUUGGAAGGAAGGCCUGGAAGAAGAAAAUCACCAUUUUAAAACAUACCUUCCAGCUUCCUAGGCCUGUCCUUAGUGAAUUACUCUGUGUGACUGCAAAGGCCGGCUUCUGUCAGCUGAGUAUGACACAAAUUUGAAAGCAUAUCUAUGCUCCAACACUCCCAUAAAAGCAAACCUAUUUUCUGAAAUCACCAUCUCCCUCUGCCCAAUUAAUUCUGCCACCCCUAACUCCCUUUCAGAUGCCACUCCAAAGGACACAUCCCGUAAAUAUUUGCACACAGACCUCUAUCUCAGAGGCUGCCUCCUGAAGAAUAUGCCACAAGGUACAUAGGUUCAGUGUUUCAUGACUUCUGUCAUUUGUUCUGUCCUAAGGAAGGGCAAUUGCACGUCUAACAUAGACCUUUUAAAAACAUUCAACUAAAUGAAUUAUAUAUAUAUGCUAUUUUAAUAGGAAGCAGCUGCAUUUUAGCAAACAUAAAUAAUAGAAUGUCAUCUCUAUUAAAUUAGUUCAAGUGCCAAGUAUUAGCUAUAUCUCGAAUUUAGAUACUGCUAGUUUUUUACUUGCUUUCGUUUUCUUCCACAGAUGUACUUACUGGUCUUUGUUGCUGCUGUUGUUAACAUUAAAAAGAGCCAUAGUACCUGGCAAGUACUGCUCCCUGGAAAAGGAAAAACAUACAGUGAGAGCGCAAUGGUCACCAUGCUCAUAGUUAGCAAACUGUCUUAACAAAACAAACGACUUACACUUUUCUACUCCCUACGUAACAUUGCCCAGAUUACUAUUUUAAAAGUACAGAACUUCUGUGAAGCACAACUUGCCAUAAACCAGCGCAUUGAACCGAAACAGCUAGUAAAUAACUAUUGGUCAAGGUGCAUAACAAACUUGGUAUCAUCUUUGGCCUUGAGUGAACCAGGAUAGAUAGCACUGGCAUCCUCCAAAAGACCCCAGAUAGUCAGCAAAAACAAAAAGAGGGGGAAUAAAUACUUUAAAUAAAUACAGUGGAAAGCUAUAGUUAGUCACAGGAAGAAAUAAAAAGAGGGGGAAAGAUAAUAAAAAGUAAAAUACAUUGCGUAGGAUCAGAACCUCUGGUCCAUACUAUACCACAUUCCUUCAACAUUCAAUGGCUUCAGGCUCUGUAUUCGAACAGGAUUGCUUUAGUUCCCCUAUGAACAUUUUAUACUUUUCUAAUCUCACACUGUAUUUCCUGGGAGUAGGCUCUCCCAGAUACAGCAGUUUAGAUAAUGAUAGCCCACCCUCUCAUAUGUAGUUGUUCCAGGAUCCUGAAGGAUGAACUCAAAAGAAACAGGAUAUCAAAGGAAUGUGGGGAGCCAGACACACCCAAGAUUUCUAAGAGGCUCUAAUGAAAAGACAAAAGAGACUUUAGUUCUCUCUCAUUGUCCAGGAACAGACUUGCCAAGACAAGUCUAAUACUAGAGCCAGUGCCUCAUAGGAGUCAAGAUCGUAAUAUCUGAAGACCCAACUCUUCCCGCUGGGUUGUAAUUAUCAGUCCUGAGACAGCUGUGUCUGUGUCCUGUGCUCUUUGUCAACAAUGUCUGAUUUAGCUCUCUGCUGUCCUUGGCCAUUUUCUUCCUGCAAAUAGUAUACAUAAUGCUGUACUUCUUAAUAAACUUGCUUGGCGUAAGUCAUCAGCUUAUGGAA